AUUGAACGCUGGCGGAAUACUUUACACAUGCAAGUCGAACGGCAGCACGGGGGCAACCCUGGUGGCGAGUGGCGAACGGGUGAGUAAUACAUCGGAACGUGCCCAGUCGUGGGGGAUAAUGUAGCGAAAGCUACGCUAAUACCGCAUACGAUCUACGGAUGAAAGCGGGGGAUCGCAAGACCUCGCGCGAUUGGAGCGGCCGAUGGCAGAUUAGGUAGUUGGUGGGGUAAAGGCUCACCAAGCCUUCGAUCUGUAGCUGGUCUGAGAGGACGACCAGCCACACUGGGACUGAGACACGGCCCAGACUCCUACGGGAGGCAGCAGUGGGGAAUAUUGCACAAUGGACGAAAGUCUGAUGCAGCAACGCCGCGUGCGGGAUGAAGGCC
rnacentral:rRNA from 1 species